ACACAUGGCCGUACCUCCUUGUCAGUGCCCAAUCUUGUCUGAUCUCAGAAGCUAAGCAAGGACUGGCUAGGUUAGUACUUGGAUGGGAGACAUUUUUGCCUCAGUCCAGGGCAAGUGCA
rnacentral:rRNA from 1 species